rnacentral:tRNA from 1 species
GAGGUUUAUCAACAAUUAGAGCUGCUAACUCCAAUGGCUAAGAGUAAGAUUCUUAGGCCUCUUA